rnacentral:rRNA from 1 species
UGCAGGAGAGGAGAGUGGAAUUCCUAGUGUAGCGGUGAAAUGCGUAGAGAUUAGGAAGAACACCAGUGGCGAAGGCGACUCUCUGGACUGUAACUGACGCUGAGGCUCGAAAGCGUGGGGAGCAAACAGGAUUAGAUACCCUGGUAGUCCACGCUGUAAACGAUGAAUACUAGGUGUGGGGGUUUCAACACCUCCGUGCCGCCGCUAACGCAUUAAGUAUUCCGCCUGGGGAGUACGGUCGCAAGAUUAAAACUCAAAGGAAUUGACGGGGACCCGCACAAGUAGCGGAGCAUGUGGUUUAAUUCGAAGCAACGCGAAGAACCUUACCUACACUUGACAUCCCUUGCAUUACUCUUAAUCGAGGAAAUCCCUUCGGGGACAAGGUGACAGGUGGUGCAUGGUUGUCGUCAGCUCGUGUCGUGAGAUGUUGGGUUAAGUCCCGCAACGAGCGCAACCCUUGUCGUUAGUUACUACCAUUAAGUUGAGGACUCUAGCGAGACUGCCUGGGUUAACCAGGAGGAAGGUGGGGAUGACGUCAAAUCAUCAUGCCCCUUAUGUGUAGGGCUACACACGUGCUACAAUGGCUGGUACAGAGAGAUGCAAUACCGCGAGGUGGAGCCAAACUUAAAAACCAGUCUCAGUUCGGAUUGUAGGCUGAAACUCGCCUACAUGAAGCUGGAGUUACUAGUAAUCGCGAAUCAGAAUGUCGCGGUGAAUACGUUCCCGGGUCUUGUACACACCGCCCGUCACACCAUGAGAGUUGGCAAUACCCGAAGUCCGUGAGCUAACCGCAAGGAGGCAGCGGCCGAAGGUAGGGUCAGCGAUUGGGGUGAAGUCGUAACAAGGUAGCCGUAGGAGAACCUGCGGCUG